GCUCCAGGGUCUGAGCUGUCAGCACAGAUGUGGGGCUCGAACUCACCAAACACGAGAUCAUGAACUGAGCUGAAGUCGGUGGCCUCGGCUGAGCCUCCCAGGUGCCCCAGGAAUCUGCAUUUUUAAUGGGCAGCCCAGCUUUAGAACCCGUUCUCCUAGCAGAUCUCCCACUGAUUACAGAGCAUCUCCUGUCUGCCUCACUUGUAACAAAGCCACAGACCCUUCUGUCUCAGAUACAGGACGGGAGGGAGAGAAGAUGUCUCCCUACCUCUUCUUCCAAAGCUCUCUUGUGUGGCUGGGCCUCGUGUCUGCGGAUGAGAAGGUCACGCGGGAAGGUCAGUGAACAAGGCUCAGGAACCACACAAGGAAUGGAGCGCCGCGAUGUCGGGGCCUCUUCUGGUCCGGGACUACGGAACCAAACGCCAUUUAGUUUUGUCACUCGCUAGUCCUCGAAAACUUACUGAGUGCUUCCUUAAUAAAUAAACCAGGCGCCAUUCUUCAGUUUUUUUGUCCGAUAUGAAAAAUGAAGCUGAGGUUUAAGUCCCAAAUAAUUCCCAAAUAGGCAGCACCAGCAAAAUAAUUAGGAGAAUUAAGACAGUCCUCUCCCUUUCUCUGAGUGUGUGUGUGUGGUGCCUUUGUGUCACACACAUGUGGGUUAGGGACUUUAGCUUAUGGCUUUCCAAACGCGUGUAGAAUUAAUUCACUUUAUUACUUCAUUCAUGCAUUUGUUUGUUCGCUUGGUAUGCAUCCACCCAUCCACUCAUUCAACUAGUGUCUGUCGUAAGCCUGCUGUGCGUCAGUCUAGGCGCUACGGAUACGGUGAUGAACGAGACAAAGUUUUUGCCCUCCUGGAGUUUUUAUUUCAAGGCAGACAAUGCCCUCAUAUGCUUAUUACAUAAACAUUUUGCAAUUUAUGUUUCCAGUAGAGAUUGGCAGUUCGACACACUGCCCUUGCUUUCUUCUUCCUGGCUUGAAAAUGUUCUUUCAGGAGAGACACCUUCCCAGACGUUUCAUUACAUGUUUGAAGUAUUUAUACACAUACCUGGGGAAAAUGAACUCUAAAACUGUGAACUCUACAAGGCACGUAAGUCAAAAGGGUAAGUUGAGUUGUUCAUCUGUGGGUUUUGACUGGUUCCCACCAGGAAACCCCUUUCAAGAAAAACCUUUACCCGCCACACACUUCAAAGAGGUUCCCAGCACUGCCGUGUUUAAAACGUGUUAAUUGGACCUAACUGCAAACAGCUGCCUAGUUUAGCCACUGUUUGGAUUGGCAUUCACCCAUCUAGAUCUAGGUCAUUUUUUUUGUUAUGUGCCAUUCAUAUUGGGAUCUUAAUACAUUUGUUUUAACCUCAGAAUGUGUUGCCAUCCAAAGGAUUGUGGACAAUAAAUAAAAACACAGAGACAACAUAUUUGUCAAGCCCUGAGGUCACUGCCAAGUACAAAAGUACAUUUGAGCGGAUGCCCUAUUUGAUAGACUGUGUGGGGUCAUGGUCCUCACUUAGACAUAUGGGGAAAUUUCCAAAACUAACAACAAAAUCCGUGGCGUUUGCUGGCUUUUGUAUGUGGGUGGAAGCAUUGAAUGAUCUUUUAUUGUCUGUUCUCCUCCACUUAACUGUUGAAUUUUAAUGCCCAUUGUAGGAAGGAGGAAAGAGUAAAUAUUUAUUAGUUUCUUAGGUGAAAUUGCUGCUGGAUCUCGUUUUAUAGGAUGUUGAUGUUUUUCAAGAAGCACGUGUGGGGGCAGCUUAUUGGUUAAAUGUGAAGUGUGGUUUUCAAAAUGUUUAACAAGUGCGAAGGCAUGAGCACUGGGCGAUUAGAAGGCACAUUCACUGGGCAUAGUAACUGGCAUGGGCGUACUCAUAUGUUUUUGUGUAGCAACCAAAGGAAUUAUUAUCCAGCAAGUUACCACCAAGAGCAACUAUCUUGUGACCCUGCUGGGAUUCAGUAUAGACUGUGCACCCUGGAGUUAUCUUCCGCAGGAGUGACAGAGCUGGGACAUUUAAGUUCCCAUCCGAUGUUGAUUGAAGGCUGCAUCUUGGACAUUAAUUCUACGGCACUUCUGUCCUACCAUUUGAGUGGCCAGGCAUGGCUUCCCCUUUUUCCAGAAGAGGAAAUGAGGACUGGAGAUGUCGAAUAACCUACCCAAGCACAUGCAGGAAAAUGUGGAAUUCAAACACUCCACUCAUUGGACAGAGGAAAGGGUCAGUUGAGGUGACGGAUGAUAGAUAUUCUGGGAAGAGGAAGAGCCGGACUGUGGAGAAAGAGCCGGGGGCUGCUGUCUGGCCCGGACAGGCUUUUCCACAUCCGGCAGCUCUAGUCUACAGAGGGGACCACGUGCUGCCUGGAGCUCCGUCUUGACAUCUCGGCGAUUACUCUCUCCUGGGUGCAGGUAAUGGCCAACAGGUGUGCCUCUUAGGGAAUCACCAGUAGAUCCAGGAUGGUGAGAGCUUAUUUAAUAUGCUGACAUAUUGGGCGGCGACGGGAAGGAUUCCGCAGUCACACCGAGGCUCAUUGAACAAGAGUGAUGUGAGUGCCGUGAGGAGCCCCAAAUGACAGACUUACCAAGGUGUUGCCACUGUGGGGACUCCCAGGCUGGAGAUCACAUGGGAAACGUAGCUGGACCUCAGGAGGUGUGAGGACGGAGUGGAGCUCAGGCAGCAGGGCCCUGCAAGGACGGCCCAUAGCAGACCCUACCAGCCACCGACUUCAGCAUGCAGGCCUUCCAGGGAGGACCCGGAGGAUGGCACAGGGACCUGCGCAUAUGAAUCAUGUGGGUUGAGGACCUCCGUCCUCUUUCAUGCCAGCACCAGGGAGGAUCCUUUUCUCUCCUCUGCUUUACCACCAUCUAACAUCCAGAGUAACCUAAUUCAAGAGCCCAACUAAGUCAUCCCGGAGUGUGAGGUGACCUGAAGGACAAGUGGGUACCCAUCACUGCAGAGCCACACAUGCACCUGGACCAGGAACCAGAGAAGCUGGAGGAGACCCAGUGGGCAGUGGAGAUGCUGUGGGCCCAGCCAGUGUCCACAGCACCCAGAAAUUCCCUGAUUCCUCUGCCUUCAUUUCCUUGAGGAUACGGAUGAAUAGCUUGGGACUGAUGUUUACCUGCUAUUUGGGAAAGCUUGUUGGGUCAGUUCCCCUGAGUGGUCAUGAGACAGUGCCCAGCUUAGCAGGUGUGUCCCUGAAGUACAUUUGUCAUCAGAAAGGAAAUUCCUCUUUGUUGCAAAUGAAAUGUGAUUGCUUGUCAGGUUGUGCCUUGAGCGUUCAGAAGAAAUGUUACAUUAAUUGGUUAAAAUAUCAGAAUGCAACAGUUCUUAAUGACUCCACCAUGUCCUGAAGCACUGUCAGAAUAUGAAAUCGACUGGGUGAAUUUCCUCUUGAGUGACAGCUAUAAGUAUCUGCAAAAUGGACUUCUAAAUUUUCAGUGGUUGCCAAAUCAAGAUACUUCUGUAAGAAGAGACCCAGGUUCAAGAUUAAUGGUUUUUAAAUCUCCAAACAUUGAAUAAGUACACGCUCUGUGCUGGGCAUGAUGUUAAGAGGCAGGAAUUCAAAGAGGAGCAAGACUCAGAUCAUACUCGCAAGAAACUUGCAGGUACUUUUGCUUCUUUACUGCCACUUUCUCUUCCUCCUCCUUCUCCAUCCCCCUCCGCUUCAUCUUCAUCAUCAUUGGCAGAUGUAGCAGAUAACUGAGGCCCCUCUACUAAGACUUAUGAAUUUUCCCGCUGAACAUUAAUUGCUGAAAGUAUAAAAAGCUAGAAGGCAACUAUCUCUUUGCCAGGGAAAUUCUGACAGGAGAAAAGCAGACCUGAAAGGAAAUGGUGCUAAAAAUACCACCAAGAUGUGAAGGACAGACUGACAGCCAGAGUCUUCAGAAUGAGACGGUGCAAAGCUGGAGAAGGGUCUCUGAGAAACACGGUGCCAUCCUGCAGCCCUGCUGAUACUUCGGCGGCCUGGGUCUGUCACCGGAAGGGUCUUCUGCGCAGAACAGGAAGUGAACGGUGCACUUUACUCAGCGGGCCAAGACUGAGCUGAGUGAGACCGCAGGACUGCGAUGGAGUGAAAGGGAGCCGCACGCUCGGCAGGGGACCCCAGUGCCCCAUCUGCGUUGCAGCUGCCUCCUGUGCUCCUUGCAGGUGUCGUCAGCUUCCACCGACAGCCAGCUCUGGACCCCGCUGCCCCGCCGCCUGCCUUCGCUGGCCGUCACCUAAAACGAGCCUCUGAUCUCAGAGACGUGCUGGAUGGAAGGAUGGAAUAUAAGAAAGUAUCUUUGCCCGGCAUCUGAUGGGAAUAGUGGCAUGGAACGGGUCUCGACAUUAGUUGAGAAUUUGAAGAAAACUCAUGGAAUCACGGAAUAAAGAUGUCAGCCAAGAAAUGUCCUGGAAGACAUCUGCCCUAUAUGUGUAAUAAUCUGCUGUUUGAAAAACAAAAAAUCAGAUGCAGUUUUGCUUGUAGUCUGCACGUUGCUUGAGGAAGAUAAUGGUUGUGAACGGAAAUAUAUCUGAGUCUCUUUAAAAUACCAAGCACCAUACUCGUUUAUGAAUGUGUAAUCAUUGAUUGCAACCAGCCAUGGUUGGGUGACAUCUCUUCUCACCUCAAGAAUGGAAUGGAGCAGGUUGGAGCUUCUGAGGACAUUUUGUCAUAGAUGGAUGCUCUAAGAGGAAAAAUAGAUUCCAAUGAGAAGGACCAUAAAGGGGAGCAUUAGGGGAGAUUUUCCUUACCAGUGAGCUGUUCUGGCUAUUUCAAUAAGAAGAGACUGGUGGCUUAGAUUCUAUGGAAAAAGCUAGAUAAGCAUAUUCCAAAAUGUGUGUUUCUUAACAAAGUGAUUGGCAGCAAGUAUAGAUUAAUAUGAAAGAUUCAAUAAAAAUAUGAAUUGAAAGCAGAUGCAAAGUUAUUAAAAGCAAGUAAGAAGGGACAAUAUAUUAUUAUUUUUAGCUGUUUCAUUUUUUUCUGGAUUCCUUUUAUUUGGUUGGUGUUUAAUGGCUCAUAAGUAAGACUUUUGAGCUUUGUAUUGUGUUAUUUGUAAAUAAAAUUUAAAUAUUUUGAUAUGUCAUAGUACAUCUUCCAUUGGUGUUCUUGGUAUUUAAUGUAGGGAAUUUCAGAUUUCAGGUUGCAAGUGAUUAGUGAGUGGGGGAAUACAAUCUAAUGGUUUAUAAUCAGUAUUUUUUUCUUACUGUUUUACUUAAAUAUAACUUGCAUAAAAAUUCACACAUGGUUUAAUACAUUUUUAUGAGUUGAACCUCCACCCCAUAACCAGCAUCUAGAUCCCUAGAUCAAGAAGCACCGGCUACCUAGAAGCUUCCCCAGCUAUGACUCUUUCAAAUCAUUACCCCUCCAAAGGUAUCCCACUGUCCUGAUUUAUAACAGCAAAGAUUACUUUUGGCUACUUUUGAACUUCAUGUAACUAGAAUCACAAACUCUUUUGUGUCUAACAUAAUGUAUGGGAAAUUCAUCUAUAUUAUUAUAUGCAAACAAUAUUGUAGUGCUCCAUUGUGUGAAUAUACCAACAUUUAUUUGCCCAUUCUACUGUUGAUGAGCCUUUGGAAAAAUUUCUGGUAUUUGUCUUUAUGAACAUUUCUUUUGUUCACAUUACUUCUGUGAAUAUUCUAAACAAAUCUAAUGGUGGACAUGUACUCUUUAUCCUGAGUAUAUACGUAAGAGUGAAAUUGUUGAGUCAUUUGAUAUGGUAUAUUGUGCUUUAGUGGAUCCUACCAAAGAGUUUGAUAAAGUCAUUGUACAAAUUGAGAGUUGAAUAGAAAAGAAGUAGAAUUGAAUGGAAAAGAAAAUGGAAGCCUGCAUCACAUAAUUAGUGGUACUUACUGUUUUUCCAAACUUUCAAUUCAAUUAUAUAGAUAUUUAUGUUUGUACUAAAUCUCAGUAUGAAAUAUCCUCCUUUUUUUCAUGAGUUUCCAUUAAAAAGUUUAAGAAGCACUUGCCUAUCUUAAGGCUCAAGUCCAAACAAUUCUAUUAACUGCAUUGCUUUAAUGAGCAACAGAAAUUGCCCUGGUGUCAGUGAGUAAUCGAAUAGGCAUUGUUGAGAGUAGGGAAAUCAUAAGAUCUUUAGGAUCAUGACCAACUUUCAACAAUAAUAAUAUUUAUAAAUAUGCCGUGAUAAGAGCUGCACAUAGAAAUGAAAGCAUAAGGUUGAGCAACAUUUGUGAUUUUGAGACAUUCAAAACAGCAACCUGGAUAAUUUCACAUUAUCAUUCCUGGUUUUGGGAACUGAGAGUGCUUGUGGAGUGUCCCUUUAAAACACAGGGGUAUUCUCUGAAAGGGUAGAAAAGCCUUUGCUCACUCACAGUUCCAGCUUACCCAGUUCCUCAAACGGGGGAAUCAACUACUCUUUACAUCCAAGGCAAAGGGCUAAUUCCAUUAUAAUACACAAAUGUACAGUUCACAUACAAAACAUAUUUGCCUGAGUUUCCUGGUUGAUCACCCAAAAUGGUUAGGACUCAAUAAACAAUGUAACAGGCAUGAUAAGAGAGUAGUAUAGUUGACUGCCUGAGACUGUAUCCUGGCUCUACUACUUACUACUCAUGGUUUGUUCAUUUGUUUGUUCAUUUCCUUCUUUCUUCUUUGCCUCCCUCCCUCCCAUCCUCCCUUUUUCCUUCCUUCCUUCCUUCUUUCUUCCUUCCUUCCUUCCUUCCUGUUAAAGUUCUGGUUAUAACAUUAACCUUGCAUAGUGUGGUUCUGUCUUUUAGGCUUAUGGUUCUAUUAAAAGUGUGAAUGUGAUCAUGGCAUUCCUUUGCUUAAUAUCCUUCAAUAUUCCCAUUGCCAUUAUAGAAACUUCUUCACCUGCCUUCACAUGCCCUCCUUACCUCUUCAGGCCUGUUGAGUGACAUUACUCCUUGUUUUCAGCCAUACUAAACUCCUUUUGGUUCUUUGAAUGUGCCAAACUCUAAUGACUUACCUUGGAAUAUUCCCUCUCCCCCUUUUGUGCCUGGCUCAUCUUUCAGGGCUCACCUCAAAUAAAUGACAUUUUCUUUAGGAGCCUUUCCCAAAGUGUGAAUUAUUUGCCCUUGCUUCUAUUGAUUCUUGCUGUUUUCUGUAUAUGCUGUAUUGUAUUUGUUUUCUUCCUCUCUGGAUGCAGGUUCUCUAAGAGCAAGGGCAAUGUCUUUCUCAUUCAUUCAUCUUUGUAUCUUUAAGAUAAUGCUUGUUAAGUCAAUCAUGAAGCACAGAGGUAUUUUCUGAAAGGGUAGACUUGCAGAUGACUUUUUACUUUUGUCUUUAUACUUUUAUGACUAAUUUUUCUGUGGUGAACAUACGUUAUCUGUGUUGUAAAAUUGUGAACGUUUUGAAAUGAGUUAAAUAUCAAAAAGAUAAACAACAAAAAAAAUCAGAUCACUGUAGGAAAUGGAAAAAGUGUGGUAUCACAGUGAGCCUGUUGUCUCUGCCUGGCGUUUAAAAGGUGAGAGAAUUCAGGGCCCCUGGCUGUUGCUAUCCCAAACAUUAGUAGGAUUUAGGGUAUGGAGACUGUAGGGUCCAGCCUAUUGAAAGCAGGUGGAAUUAGAGAGGAAGUGAGUUAUGAUUAAAGAGGGGGAGGAUCAUUUAGGAGAGACAGAUGGGACCAGCUGUGUGUGAAAGUUCCUUGGAAAACUGGAAGAAAAUAAAAGGGUUCCAAGUAUAAGAAAAAUAGGAGCUGCAAAAUCAGGAAAUAUGAGAAAAGGCUAGAGGAAUAAGGAGCACAAAGUAUAAUAGAGAAAAGAGGGACAGAGGAAAGAAAAGAAGAAGAAAGGAAUGGGUUUCAGGAGGGGAAAAAUAUAUAUAUAUAUAUAUCUGAAAGAUAUUUAGGGAACAGGUCAGGAAAGAACAGCAAGUGAAGUCCUACCCGGUGCAGGACAUCUGGGCUCCUGCUGGUAGUAGGUCUGCUUCCUCCAGCCCCCCAGGUGCAGCUACCAUAGCCACAUGGUCCUGCAGGGAUUUCUGAAAGGUCCCCUUCGAGUCACUCUUUUCUUCGGGAGGUUUUGUCUUCCAAACUUAAGUGCACUGGGCCUCUGGUCUGAGCCAUUUAUUUACGUUUUGAAAUGUGAGCAUUUCAUGUGAACUUUCCCUACCCUGCUGUAGCUGUGUGCCUGGGACAAAAGACAUGACUUAGCUGUCAGUACACUGAAGUAUGCAGCCCGCCUGUAGGUCAGGUCACAAAGCAAAGCUGUUUAAAAAGUAUGGGGCUCCUCUCAGGAGACAGCUGUGUGUCCAUGCAGCAUUUGUCAGCUGUGCUAAAGAUGGAAUUGAGGACAGAAAGGAAUAUCCAGAAGAACAUUGUAUGAAUGGAAAGGCGCCAUGAAGUGUUUUAAAAUGGUGUGAAGUCAGAUUUGAAGUGUUGAGGUCAGAGGGUAAGUUCCCUUUCCCGUGGAGCCUAAGUUGUUCUCUGGCAGAAUCUCAGAAAACUAGUGGUGGUAGGUGUAAAAUGGCUGCCCUGAGACUGUAGGCUAGAGUCCAGUGGUGAGCAUGUUUCCUUGGGCUUAGUAGGAGGUGUAGCAGUAGUUGUAUCACUUAUUUUCUUAUCUUGCCGUAGGUUCUCCUUUUUUUUUAAUAGUUUAUUUAUUUUGAGAGAGAGUGUAUGUGCACGAGUAGGAGAGGGGCAGAGACAGAGAGAGGUAGAGAGAGAAU